GUAAUCGCGGGUCAGCAUACCGCGGUGAAUGUGUUCCUGAGCCUUGUACACACCGCCCGUCAAGCCACGAAAGUGGGGGGUAUCCGAAGCCGCCGAGGUAACCGCAAGGAGCCAGGCGUCUAAGAUAAACUCUGCGAUUGGGACUAAGUCGUAACAAGGUAGCCGUAGGGGAACCUGCGGCUGGAUCACCUCCUUUCUAAGGA
rnacentral:rRNA from 1 species